rnacentral:rRNA from 1 species
GACGAACGCUGGCGGCGUGCUUAACACAUGCAAGUCGAACGGAAAGGCCCUGCUUUUGUGGGGUGCUCGAGUGGCGAACGGGUGAGUAACACGUGAGUAACCUGCCCUUGACUUUGGGAUAACUUCAGGAAACUGGGGCUAAUACCGGAUAGGAGCUCCUGCUGCAUGGUGGGGGUUGGAAAGUUUCGGCGGUUGGGGAUGGACUCGCGGCUUAUCAGCUUGUUGGUGGGGUAGUGGCUUACCAAGGCUUUGACGGGUAGCCGGCCUGAGAGGGUGACCGGCCACAUUGGGCCUGAGAUACGGCCCAGACUCCUACGGGAGGCAGCAGUGGGGAAUAUUGCACAAUGGGCGGAAGCCUGAUGCAGCAACGCCGCGUGCGGGAUGACGGCCUUCGGGUUGUAUACCGCUUUCGCCUGUGACGAAGCGUGAGUGACGGUAAUGGGUAAAGAAGCACCGGCUAACUACGUG